UCGCGUAUAAGCGUCAACAGGUCUUAAAGAUUCUAUCCCUCUCUCUCUCUCUCUAUUAACUCCUGCAGCAGCAUAAAGUUCAAAUCGCUUUCUCAAUUUUCGGUUACCAUUUUUUACUUUCUCUACAACCUCCGAAGAUAUAGGGAGCGAGCCACGUGAAAUCAAAACUGAUGGGAGCGUAUUGCAACGACGACCUAAACAUGCCGGUUUACUCCGCCGGCGCUCCGACGAACGAGCUCCGAUUCAGCAAGCAUGUCUACGACAACGUUCAUGGCAACAUCUACCUCGAUCCUCUUUGCUUAAAAUUCAUUGACACGGAGCAGUUUCAGAGGCUUCGUGAACUAAAGCAGCUUGGAGUGACAAACAUGGUAUAUCCGGGAGCUGUGCAUUCUAGGUUUGAGCAUUCUCUAGGUGUGUAUUGGCUUGCAGGCGAAACUGCACAGAAGCUAAAAAAUUUCCAGGGAAUGGAGCUCGAUAUUGACAAACAUGAUCUUCAGACUGUGAGACUUGCGGGACUUCUCCAUGAUAUUGGCCAUGGGCCUUUCAGCCAUAUGUUUGAGCGUGAGUUCCUGCCAAAGGUCAUGAGCGGCUGUGAGUGGUCUCAUGAGUCAAUGUCUGUAAAGAUGAUUGACCAUAUUGUGGACACGCAUAACAUUGAUAUUGAUGCUCAAAUGUUGAAAAGAGUGAAGGAUAUGAUCCUAGCAAGUACUGAAUUUUCACAGCUGAAAAGCAACGCAGAGAAACGUUUCUUGUAUGACAUUGUUGCUAAUGGUCGAAAUGGGAUUGAUGUGGACAAGUUUGACUACCUUGUCCGUGAUUCUCGAGCUUGUGGACUGGGAUGCAACUUUCAGUUCCAAAGACUGACAGAGACGAUGAGAGUCAUGGACAACGAAAUCUGCUAUCGCGCUAAGGAGUACCGUAAUGUUCACAAGUUAUUUGCAACACGUGCUGAUCUCUAUCGAACUGUCUACACACAUCCGAAAGUAAAGGCAAUAGAGCUUAUGAUAGUAGAUGCUAUGGUCAAAGCCAACGAUUACUUGGGGAUUUCUACUAACAUUGACGACCCAGCUGAAUACUGGAAGUUGGACGAUACAAUCCUGAAAACCAUUGAAAUAGCUCCAGAUCAAGAACUUGCAGAAGCUAAAGACCUGAUACUCCGCGUUCGCAGAAGGCAGCUGUACCAAUUCUGUAACGAGUAUGCGGUUCCAAAGGAAAAAAUCGAACAUUUCAAAGCCGUUACUGCUCAAGAUAUCGUCUGUUCUCAGAAGCAUACAAGCUUAACACUCAAAGAGGAGGAUAUCGCUGUUACCAAUGUCAAGAUUGAUUUAGCUCGUGGGAGAGAAAACCCUCUUGAAUGCAUCAAGUUCUUCAAGGUACAGUAUCGUCUCUCUGUUCUUGUACACCAUAAUCUCAACAGACUCUAUUUGAUUGACUGGUUUCUUGUACAGGAUUACGAGAGUGAAGAGAAGUUUGUGAUACCUGAGGAAAGAGUUAGUCACUUGUUACCAACAACAUUUCAAGACAUGAUAGUGAGAGUAUAUGCCAAGAAACCAGAACUGGUAGAAGCAGUUUCUGAAGCAUUUGAGAACUUCCAAGUGAGAACGUAUGGAAUCAAAGCUCAAGUUCACGAAACACCUGAGAAAAAGAAACGCCGUGUCAUGUAAUUAGUUACGUGGCCGUAACUCAUUUCAUUCUUCUUUUCUUACGGUGUUGAAACUUUUAACUACGGAUGUGUGCGUAUAUACUAAGCACACGUAUAGGAUUUACAAUUACCUUAAAGUCUUGGAUCUUGCCAAUUUCUUUCUUUAUACGUAAGAAGAAAACAUUCUUUACGAAUCAUAUGUUACAGAUUCGAUGGUGGGGCCAAUUUGAAAACUACUUCAAAUUUAUUA